AUUCCAGCUCCAAUAGCGUAUAUUAAAGUUGUUGCGGUUAAAAAGCUCGUAGUUGGAUUUCUGCUGAGGACGACCGGUCCGCCCUCUGGGUGAGUAUCUGGCUCGGCCUUGGCAUCUUCUUGGGGAACGUAACUGCACUUGACUGUGUGGUGCGGUAUCCAGGACUUUUACUUUGAGGAAAUUAGAGUGUUUCAAGCAGGCGCACGCCUUGAAUACAUUAGCAUGGAAUAAUAAGAUAGGACUUUGGUACUAUUUUGUUGGUUUGAGAACCAAGGUAAUGAUCAAUAGGGACAGUUGGGGGUAUUCGUAUUCAGUUGUCAGAGGUGAAAUUCUUAGAUUUCCGGAAGACGAACUACUGCGAAAGCAUUUACCAAGGAUGUUUUCAUUA
rnacentral:rRNA from 1 species